rnacentral:snRNA from 1 species
GGGCUUACUUCAGCAGCACAUAUACUAAAAUUGGAACAAUACAAAGAAGAUUAGCAUGGCCCCUGUGCAAAGAUGACAAAUUCGUGAAGCGUUCCAUAUUUUU